UCGAGGAUCUUCCGCAAUGGGCGAAAGCCUGACGGAGCGACACCGCGUACAGGAUGAAGGCCUUCGGGUUGUAAACUGUUGUCACGCUAUAGGAACCCCUUGGUGUUAAUAGCGCCAAGGCUGACUAAAGCGAGAGGAAGCAACGGCUAACUCUGUGCCAGCAGCCGCGGUAAGACAGAGGUUGCAAACGUUGUUCGGAAUCACUGGGCAUAAAGCGCACGUAGGCGGUCUGUUAAGUCAGGUGUGAAAGCCCCCGGCUCAACCGGGGAACAGCAUUUGAUACUGGCAGACUCGAGGAUGGUAGGGGUGAGUGGAACUCCAGGUGGAGCGGUGAAAUGCGUAGAUAUCUGGAGGAACACCGGUGGCGAAAGCGGCUCACUGGACCAUAACUGACGCUGAGGUGCGAAAGCUAGGGUAGCAAACGGGGAUUAGAUACCCUAGUAGUCCCUGAGCGGGCUGGCAAGGCGCAU
rnacentral:rRNA from 1 species